GGCGGCCUUAGCGCGGUGGUCCCACCUGACCCCAUGCCGAACUCAGAAGUGAAACGCCGUAGCGCCGAUGGUAGUGUGGGGUCUCCCCAUGCGAGAGUAGGGA
rnacentral:rRNA from 1 species